rnacentral:rRNA from 1 species
AAGUAUAAGCUUUUAUACGGCAAAACUGCGAAUGGCUCAUUAAAACAGUUAUAGUUUAUUUGAUGGUCUUUGCUACAUGGAUAACCGUGGUAAUUCUAUGGCUAAUACAUGCGCACAUACCACUUUUUUUAAAAGGGUAGUGUUUAUUAGAUACAGAACCAACCCACCUUUUGGUGGUCAUUAGGUGAUUCAUAGUAACCGAACGGAUCGCAUAACGGCUUCGGUCGGCGAUAGAUCAUUCAAGUUUCUGACCUAUCAGCUUUCGACGGUACUGUAUUGGACUACCGUGGCUGUGACGGGUAACGGGGAAUUAGGGUUCGAUUCCGGAGAGGGAGCCUGAGAAACGGCUACCACAUCUAAGGAAGGCAGCAGGCGCGCAAAUUACCCAAUCCUGAUUCAGGGAGGUAGUGACAAGAAAUAACAACACUGGAAAUUUCAUUUCUAGUGA